CUAUUUUGUGUGAGUACAGAGAGCAUCUGAAUGGGUACAGUUGUUGUCUCUUAUUUCUCACACAG
ensembl:miRNA